AUUGAACGCUGGCGGCAGGCUUAACACAUGCAAGUCGAGCGGGGUGAUGGUGCUUGCACUAUCACUUAGCGGCGGACGGGUGAGUAAUGCUUAGGAAUCUGCCUAUUAGUGGGGGACAACAUCUCGAAAGGGAUGCUAAUACCGCAUACGUCCUACGGGAGAAAGCAGGGGAUCACUUGUGACCUUGCGCUAAUAGAUGAGCCUAAGUCGGAUUAGCUAGUUGGUGGGGUAAAGGCCUACCAAGGCGACGAUCUGUAGCGGGUCUGAGAGGAUGCUCCGCCACACUGGGACGGGGACACGGCCCAGACUCCUACGGGAGGCAGCAGUGGGGAAUAUUGGACAAUGGGGGGAACCCUGAUCCAGCCAUGCCGCGUGUGUGAAGAAGGCCUUAUGGUUGUAAAGCACUUUAAGCGAGGAGGAGGCUCUUUUGGUUAAUACCCAAGAUGAGUGGACGUUACUCGCAGAAUAAGCACCGGCUAACUCUGUGCCAGCCGCCGCCGUAA
rnacentral:rRNA from 1 species